rnacentral:lncRNA from 1 species
UUCAGCUAUCAUUUUGCAGUUUUGUGAGUGUGUCUGAAGGAGAAAUCUCUAGAAGCAGACUCACUGAAUCAAUUGUGUUUCUGACAGGUGUUUCCAAAUCGCCGAAAUGCAUAUGUAGCAUUUGCCGCCUGUGCCCAGCUCACAUUCCGAGGACCUCUCAGUGUGUUUCUGUGACUUCCAACGGUCAGUAUCUGCAUCCUUGUGCCUGAGGGUCCACCCUCCCCAUUGCUGAUUGCAGAAGGUUUUCUGUGGGAUUGUGGCGGUCAUGAGGACAGAAAAUUACCCAACACACACACACACACACACACACAACCGUCAUCCAUGACUCUUCAGCUCCCCAUCCCUCCAGUGGGAUAAUUCUGAGGUUUGUAUGUUGUAUUAUCUUCCAGAGUUUUCCCACAAGGUAGCAGGUUUAAUAAUGCACCUUUCGGUAGCUGCCUUACUUUUUCUAUGUCUCUUCCCUACUUCCCUUUCCAGUGUCCUCUACCAGUGGCCCAAUUUGAGGUGCCUUCCUUGCAUUCUUUUUGUUUGGAAUUACAAUCCGGCAAAAGUGAGGUUUUCAGAAGUGGAAUGGAAGGAAGGACCUAAGACACUAUCCCCACCCCUGGGGCGUUGUUGCUUUUAA